CCUACGGGAGGCUGCAGUGAGGAAUAUUGGUCAAUGGGCGCGAGCCUGAACCAGCCAAGUAGCGUGAAGGAUGACUGCCCUACGGGUUGUAAACUUCUUUUAUAAAGGAAUAAAGUGAGGGACGUGGGCCGUUUUGUAUGUACUUUAAGAAUAAGGAUAGGCUAACUCCGUGCCAGCAGCAGCGGUAAUACGGAGGAUCCGAACGUUAUCCGGAUUGAUUGGGUUUAAAGGGAGCGGAGGUGGGUUGUUAAAUCAGUUGUGAAAGUUUGCGGCUCAACCGUAAAAUUGCAAUUGAUACUGGCAGUCUUGAGUGCAGUUGAGGUAGGCGGACUUCGUGGUGUAGCGG
rnacentral:rRNA from 1 species